CUUGGUCAUUUAGAGGAAGUAAAAGUCGUAACAAGGUUUCCGUAGGUGAACCUGCGGAAGGAUCAUUAUUGAUUUUUAAAGAUGUGCUGGCACUCCUUCACCGGUUUGCAUGUGCACUCUGCAAAAUCUCCUUCUCUUACCCCACUGUGCACACCCAAGUAGACAAACAGAGUUACAGAGCAAUCUGUGUAAUUCCUGAUUUGCCUAUGUUUUUAUCAAACACCAAUAACAAUAUCAGAAUGAUCUAUAUAGUAAGCUUUUAACAAGCUGAAAUUUAAUACAACUUUCAACAAUGGAUCUCUUGGUUCUCGCAUCGAUGAAGAACGCAGCGAAUUGCGAUAUGUAGUGUGAAUUGCAGAAUUCAGUGAAUCAUCGAAUCUUUGAACGCACCUUGCACCCUCUGGCAUUCCGGAGGGUAUGCCUGUUUGAGUGUCAUUAAUCUCUCAACACAAGAAACUUUGUCUUCUUGUGCUUGGAUAUUGAAGGUUUUGCUGGCGCAAACAACUGUCAGCUCCUUUUAAAUGUAUUAGCAGAGCAGUAUGGGACUGGCCUCGGUUUGAUAAGAAACUUUAUCUAUGCUGUCGCUGGGUUUUCCUCUUUGUGCUCAGCUUCAAAUUGUCUUCGGACUGUCUCUUGAGGCAACAAAAUUUCUAUUGAUCGACCUCAAAUCAGGUAGGACUACCCGCUGAACUUAAGCAUAUCAAUAAGCGGAGGA
rnacentral:rRNA from 1 species